rnacentral:misc_RNA from 1 species
GAGAGUUGCAAAACUCCCUGAAAACCCUUUGUGAAUCUACCUGAAUCAGUUGCUCCGGCAGGCGGCCCCAGGGCGGGGCCUGUUAGCUUGCUUCUUUGCAGGUGCCUGUCGGAAGUAUCAAGACUCUUUUGUUAGUUGUCUUCUGAGUCGCUACAGCGAGAAAAUGAAUCA